UAAGGAAUAUUGGUCAAUGGGCGGAAGCCUGAACCAGCCAUGCCGCGUGCAGGAAGACGGCCCUACGGGUUGUAAACUGCUUUUGUACCGGAAUAAACCCCCGUAUGUAUACGGGGUUGAAUGUACGGUAAGAAUAAGGAUCGGCUAACUCCGUGCCAGCAGCCGCGGUAAUACGGAGGAUCCAAGCGUUAUCCGGAUUUAUUGGGUUUAAAGGGUGCGUAGGCGGCCUAUUAAGUCAGGGGUGAAAGACGGUAGCUUAACUAUCGCAGUGCCUUUGAUACUGAUGGGCUUGAAUGUACUUGAGGUAGGCGGAAUGUGACAAGUAGCGGUGAAAUGCAUAGAUAUGUCACAGAACACCAAUUGCGAAGGCAGCUUACUAAAGUAUGAUUGACGCUGAGGCACGAAAGCGUGGGGAUCAAACAGGAUUAGAUACCCGUGUAGUCC
rnacentral:rRNA from 1 species